ACAAAGGGCGCGCCCUUGGGUGCCCAUGUCGGGCUUUCAAGAGGGAAGCCGGUGAGAGUCCGGCGCGGUCCCGCCACUGUGAACGGGCAGCCCUGAGGUCAGGGCCGGGGGCUUCGGUUUGUCGCCACUCCAUCCGCGGCCGAGCGCCGUUCUGGGGGAAGGCGGAAGUCCUCUUCUGGCAUGACGCAGCGUGCGCCAGUCGCCAGAGCCCGUCAGCCAGGAGACCUGCCCAGGGGUGCGGCCGAGC
rnacentral:ncRNA from 2 species